AGCUUUUCCACACAAAUUAAGUAGUAUAACAUUAUAUGUGCAUAUUACGCAUUAUGUGUACUACUACUUUGUCGUUCACAAUUUUAUACGUUUAAAAAUGCAUUCGUGGCGAAUAGGAUAAAAGGUUGUCGAUUAUCACUAACCCUAACCUUAUAAAUGUGUCAUGUGCUUUAUUACGUGUAAAUUACCAGUGCGUAGAAAAUUAUUUAUUUAGACUCAUUUAUAUAGCGCCAAGAGGGAAAGAAGAGUAGAUUUUCUAGUACUCUUUUUCAGUCAGUUAUAAUUUGUACGUUAAAUGUUUAAGAUCACAUUGAUGCAAUACUGUUAUAUUUAAAACGUUUGGGAGUUUAGUGGUUACCAUUUUCAAUAUCAUCAGCAAUGGAUAACGAAAAAAGUGUUAUUGGAUAUUGGAUAUCCGAGAAAAAGCGUCAGAAAUUCAAUUGGGCGGAAUUUUGCGAUAUUUGUGCCAAAGAAGGAUUUGUUUUGAAAGCGAUUUCUAUAUAAAAAAAGAAGCUUUGCAAAUCAAAAGGAAAAGUUGAAAAAACGUGUCAAUUAUAAACAUUGUCGAGGAAGAAUGCUUUGAUCAUUGACUAUCGUGCUAACCAAUCUAAUAAUAUAUGUAUAUGCGUGCUCGUUUCAAAUUUUCAUCGGGAAAAAAAGGACUAAAUAAAGGAUAAUAUUAGAUCAAGAACCAGACGAUAAAUAUUGAAUCGAAUAUAGAAGCCCAAGGACCAAUUCACGUCUUUCUUCAUAAGUUGACUGAUAUUUUGGCCAAUGCGGAAGAUGGUAAUAAACAUGCAAGGGAUAUUGUUACAAGAAUACAAGAAUACAUUCAAAAACAUCCAGAAUUGAUUGUGAUAGAUCCAUUGGAAAAUGUUCGAAAUUUGCGAAAUCGUCAUCAAUCGUAUGAAAUGAUAUAUAAUAGUGUACAGUUUGAAGAUGAUGUGUUUAUUCCUAAUUUUGUUGAAAUUAAA